AAACAUUAAAAAAAAAAAAAAAAGUUCAUCACUGGCAGCUUGAGCUGUAUCAGAUUGUACCUUUUCUUUUGAUUCCAGUUUUCUCGCUCAAUGUGUUAAUAAAAUGGUCCAUGUAUAAUAAAACCAAGCAACCAAGUUUGUGUUCAUGCCUGAAAGAGACUACAUUGAACAAAAUUUGCUCAUUUAUCGUGCAAGGCUCAGAAUCGUUAAUGUUAGGCAAAAUGGUGGAU
rnacentral:misc_RNA from 1 species